rnacentral:rRNA from 1 species
UAAGGAAUAUUGGACAAUGGGCGCAAGCCUGAUCCAGCCAUGCCGCGUGAAGGAUUAAGGUCCUCUGGAUUGUAAACUUCUUUUAUAUGGGACGAAAAAAGGGAAUUCUUUCUCACUUGACGGUACCAUAUGAAUAAGCACCGGCUAACUCCGUGCCAGCAGCCGCGGUAAUACGGAGGGUGCAAGCGUUAUCCGGAUUCACUGGGUUUAAAGGGUGCGUAGGCGGGUAGGUAAGUCAGUGGUGAAAUCUCGGAGCUUAACUCCGAAACUGCCAUUGAUACUAUCUAUCUUGAAUAUUGUGGAGGUUUGCGGAAUAUGUCAUGUAGCGGUGAAAUGCUUAGAUAUGACAUAGAACACCUAUUGCGAAGGCAGCAGGCUACACAUAUAUUGACGCUGAGGCACGAAAGCGUGGGGAUCAAACAGG